rnacentral:rRNA from 1 species
GAUGAACGCUAGCGGCAGGCUUAAUACAUGCAAGUCGAGGGACAGCACAGGUAGCAAUACUGGGUGGUAACCGGCAAACGGGUGCGGAACACGUACACAACCUUCCUUUAAGUGGGGGAUAGCCCAGAGAAAUUUGGAUUAAUACCCCGUAAUAUAGUUGAAUGGCAUCAUUUGAUUAUUAUAGCUACGGCGCUUAAUGAUGGGUGUGCGUCUGAUUAGAUAGUUGGCGGGGUAACGGCCCACCAAGUCUACGAUCAGCAGCUGAUGUGAGGGCAGGAUCCGCCACAGGGGCACUGAGACACGGGCCCGACUCCCACGGGAGGCAGCAGUAAGGAAUAUUGGUCAAUGGACGCAAGUCUGAACCAGCCAUGCCGCGUGAAGGAUUAAGGUCCUCUGGAUUGUAAACUUCUUUUAUUUGGGACGAAAAAGGGCCUUUCUAGGUCAACUGACGGUACCAGAUGAAUAAGCACCGGCUAACUCCGUGCCAGCCGCCGCCGUAACAC